rnacentral:rRNA from 1 species
AGAGUUUGAUCCUGGCUCAGGACGAACGCUGGCGGCGUGCCUAACACAUGCAAGUCGAGCGAAGUGCUUUGAGUGGAACCCUUCGGGGUGAAACUUAAAGCACUUAGCGGCGGACGGGUGAGUAACGCGUGAGGAACCUACCUCCCACAAGGGGAUAGCCUCGGGAAACCGGGAUUAAUACCCUAUGACACUUAGGUGUCGCAUGACGCCUAGGUUAAAGCGCUUUAGCGGUGGGAGAUGGCCUCACGUCCCAUUAGCUAGUUGGUGAGGUAACGGCUCACCAAGGCGACGAUGGGUAGCCGGCCUGAGAGGGUGACCGGCCACACUGGGACUGAGACACGGCCCAGACUCCUACGGGAGGCAGCAGUGGGGAAUAUUGCACAAUGGGCGAAAGCCUGAUGCAGCGACGCCGCGUGAGCGAAGAAGGCCUUCGGGUCGUAAAGCUCUGUCCUAUGGGACGAUAAUGACGGUACCAUAGGAGGAAGCCCCGGCUAACUACGUG